UGGAGAAAACUUCAGUUUAAAUAACAACGUUAUAGCAAUUAUUAAUGCAAAAUAACUAACUUAGGAUUGAAAAAUUGAUAAAGUAAUUAUUGAAAUUUUCAAAUUAAAGUGUUUAUUAUAGAAAAUACUAUAAAAAUAUGCUAAGUAAGUUUAUUUUGGGUAUAUCACAAAAAUAUAGGGAUUCGAGCUUCUCGAUUUCUUUAACCGUUAGAGAUAGAAAAUUGAAAAUAAGCCACAAUAAGUAGUAUGGCGCAAAAUGUAGAUUAUUAAAGAAAUGUCAAAUUUGAAAAAACUGCAUAUUCGUAAAUUUGCCAUAGAGGUGACGAUAUUUCGAAACAUACCAGCAGCAUGCCAGGAGGUGAAGAUAAAGUCAAGUCAUUGGACCGACAUGUCGUGACAAAUUCACAAAAAUUAAUUAUCAAAAAACAUAUUAUUGUUUAUACCGAAUUUCAAAAAGCUAACGCAGACAGACGUGGGGAUUUCAAUUUUAAGCUCUUUAUAUUUCUAAUCAAAGAUAGAAGCUGUCUAGCAAACACCUCGGUAAAAAGAUUUCACAUUCUCGGGAAGCUGACAAAUAAUUCCAUAAUUAAUUACUUUAGUAGAUUGUAGAGAAAUUUCUGUCAUGAAUUUGGUUAAUGUUCAGUGAAUAAUUAAUUCGAGUGGUUGAACAUUUUGGACACUUCAUCUAACCUGUUUAGCAAUAACAAAAGUUGAAAUAAUUGGAAGAAGCGUUUAGAAAUUCCAAGUGAUUGAACAAAACAUUGAAUAUAGAUGACAAAUCUGCGUGUUUUAUGAAGUUGUAGAUCUCAGGACGAAUUUAGCGCAAAUCACUUCAACGAGGAGAACGUGAUAAGUGUCUUCAUUAAACGCCGCCCUUUAUAUUCGCCGUAUCUUAGUGUGCAGUGUCGCCAAGCAAAUUGGCUGUUUAAAGAACGUUACGCGAAACGCUCUUGUUCACGAGUCAAUUUGAACCAUUCUCCAACAGUCCUGCGUAACAAUGCACACAAAACAAGAAAAUAAAAUCAUUGCCGGCAGCCUCUCUCGCUACGCUUGCCAUAAAGAAUAAUAAGUACGGUUUGAAUACGAUAUUAGUAAUUUGCACAUCAAUAUUAUUUUUAUUCGUUUCAUUGAAAUUUAACACUUGUAUACAUUAUAUAGUAGAAUGUAUUAGCUAGUAUUUUUUGAUUUAUUUGAGUCUAUGUGGGUAUAAUAUAUGCAUUAUACAUUAUAGUACCUAGUUGUAUGUAUAAUUUUGUUUUAUACAGGCUAUAUGGCUUCCAGACAAAUUUCAGCAGUUUUUCUUGUUUGCUAACGUAAAGAACAGAACGAAAAUAUUAA